GGCUUGUUGGUCUAGUGGUACGAUUCCUGUUUCGGGUACAGGAGUCCCGGGUUCGAACCUCGGACAAGCCC
rnacentral:tRNA from 1 species